rnacentral:rRNA from 1 species
UACAGGGGGUGCAAGCGUUAUUCGGAAUUAUUGGGCGUAAAGAGCGUGUAGGCUGCUUGAUAAGUCUAGUGUGAAAGCCCCGGGCUCAAUCCGGGAAGUGCAUUGGAUACUGUCGAGCUAGAGUACAGGAGAGGUGAGCGGAAUUCCAGGUGUAGAGGUGAAAUUCGUAGAUAUCUGGAGGAACAACAGCGGCGAAGGCGGCUCACUGGACUGUUACUGACGCUAAGGCGCGAAAGUGUGGGGAGCAAACAGG